UUGGAUGUUAAGUGCUCCAAGGAGGUAGCCACAGCCAUCCGGGGGGCCAUCAUCCUGGCCAAGCUCUCCAUUGUCCCUGUGCGGCGAGGCUAUUGGGGGAACAAGAUCGGCAAGCCCCACACUGUUCCUUGCAAGGUGACUGGCCGUUGUGGUUCUGUGCUGGUGUGCCUCAUCCCUGUACCCAGGGGUACUGGCAUUGUUUCAGCCCCGGUGCCCAAGAAGCUGCUGAUGAUGGCUGGUAUUGAUGACUGCUACACUUCUGCCAGGGGCUGCACUGCCACGCUGGGCAACUUUGCUAAGGCCACCUUUGAUGCCAUCUCCAAGACCUACAGCUAUCUCACCCCUGAUCUUUGGAAGGAGACUGUGUUCACCAAGUCUCCGUAUCAGGAAUUCACUGACCAUCUUGUAAAGACCCACACCAGAGUUUCUGUGCAGAGGACCCAGGCUCCAGCUGUGGCCACCACAUAGUUUUAUAUGCAAAAAAUAAAGUGAAUGAAG